rnacentral:lncRNA from 1 species
GCCGAAAGGCGAAAGUGAGAUUUCAAGGGCCGGGUCUGGGGCCCCGCGGGCGCGCAGUGCUGCGGCGUGUGGGGAGUACGGGGAGGCUGGAGAGGAGCCGGCCCCGGGCAGUGUGAGGUGCGGAAGCGCGGUCCAGACACUUUGCUGACGGGAGGCCGGUCCGCCAGAUCCGGGAGGUGGGGCCUCGUUCUGGACUGCUGAUUUUCUUCACAGAAAUCAUGCCGUCUGUGAAUGAAGGGAGUUAUACUUCUUAUUUUCCAAAUGGAGAUUUUAUUUUUCUUGCAUGACUUCACUGGCUAGAACCACUACUACAAUGCUGAUUAGAAGUGGUAAGAAACAGAGGCAAAUGCAGGUUAAGGAACCUCACAGUAAGGGAUAAAACUCAUAUUUUAACCUGAUCUGCCUGAUUCUGGAGCCUGCACCAUCAUUCCAUUGUCGUGCUUGCCACAUGGCUCUUUGAGGCUUGCUAAAAUUGAUAUCCAUGAGUUCUAUCAAUUCUGGGACAGAGAACAAAUUGUGUUCUGUAAGGAUGGAGGGACAGCGAGGAAUUUGCCAAGGAUUACGAUCUUCUCGUUAAUUCUUCUUAACAACUCUGGCAGGCAUUUUGGAGUUUCUGAAAUAAAACCCACUUGAUCCCUUCUAUGUUCAUCUCCUGCGCUGGAUUUGAUUCAUUAAUAUUUUAUUUCAGUUUUUAAAUCUGUAUCUAUAAAUGACAUUCACACACCAU